UGUCUAGGCUGGUAGACUCUCCCCGAGGGCAGUGUGAGGAGCUGCUGCACUGUCACGAACACAAACCGAUUACUGGGAAUGCCUUUCCUUGGAGGGGUGGCUGUGGAGUGUCACCUUCCCACAGACCCGCUCCUGCCCAUCUGGCGUGUUGCCCAGGGCGCCAUCACACCUGCAAAGAGUGGGUUGGCCCCAGAGCUUGUGAGGUCAGCACAUAGAUUGGCCUGUGUCUGUGAAGGUGAUCCUGCCUUCUGAUUGUUAGAGACGCUCUGACUGAGCAGCUCAUAAUUAGAGGAUGGAUACCAGACCUAAGAUGCUUGAACCCGCCCCAGUUCAUAGACUUCCUGAGAGAAUGACAAUGUCCCAGUUCCUGAGAUGCUGUGUUUUUUCGUAUAUCCACUCUACAAAAAUCCACUGAUUAUCUAUCAAGACCUAGGGCCUGGGGCUAGAGUUGGCUACCCUAAGGAACUCAGUCUGUGAGGGAAACAGACAAGGGCCAAGAGACUUUUGAUUUGCUCUUUGACAAGGUGACUCUGGCUGAUUAUGGAAGGUUAAGAAGCUGGCCAGAGAAAAAAAUAUGUGUGUAAGUGAGUGGGGAGAUUGGCAGGGCAGGAGGUAGAGGGUGGAGAGGAGGGAGAAUUAAAUUCUGGGCAGAAAAGCAGCAUUCACAAAAAGCAUGGUUUCCUACAUAGGCAAUUUAGACCGGGGCUGGCAAAAAACAGCCAACGAGCCAAAUCCAGCUCACUUCCUGCUUUUGUAAAUAAAGUUUUAUUGGCACAUAACCAUGGCCAUUUAUUUAUGUGCGAUCUCUGGCUUCUUUAGAGCUGUAACAGUAGAACUGUGUAGUCGCAGCAUGGCCUCCAAAGCCUAAACUAUUUAUUCUCUGACCCUCUACAGGAAACGUUUGCCAACCCUUCUUUUAUAUCUAUCAAUUAAUUCUGAAACCCAGCGUAGAAUUUUAAAACCAACCACAAAAUAUCUAGCACCCACUACAUAAUUCUAGAAUCCAGUAUGGUUUUCUAGAGCUCCCUGGAAGAGUGACAUUUGUGUAGGGAUUUAGAAGUUUACAGUGAGCUUUUGCAUCAAUUAUCCCAUUUAAUCCUUCGACAAGCCCAUAUGAGGUUAACGGUAAUUUUAUCCCAAUUUUUGCAGAUGAAAAAACUAAGACAAAGGGAAAUUAAGGGACUUACUGAAGACCACAUGGCUAGGAGACAGCCGAGUUUUGGGCAGCCUGAUUCUAACAUUCCUUGCUCUUUCCACCACAUUAACCUACAGAUGUUUCUUUGUCACACAUUCCACUACUGAGCUGCCCUCCCUGACAGUCCGUUUCCCUGCUGCCACUGAGGAGGCCUUUUGUCCAUUGUGCUGCCUUACUGGGAGAGCAGUUUGGGAGGAGAAUUGAAUUUCCUUUCCGCAUCUGUUUGCUGGUGUCUGGUGCACCCUGGGAUGCUAACGAACAGUGACAGAUGAGCUUCAAUUGGCUGGAGCGUGUGAAGAACCACUGGACCAGGGGGCCCUUGGGGAGAAGAGGCACAUGCAGUAGCCUGGGAAGUUCAGUGAUUUCCACUCUGCAGCCCGAAGUGGAGAAUCAAGUCCGCAGCAGAGAGUAUGGCAAUGAAUGGGCCCAGGUUGAAGACUGGAGCCCCAAAGUGAGAGCCCAGGGUACUUACAGAACAAGGUAUUGGCCCAGUAGCUCUGAUUGACAGACACUUCCUGUUGGAUGGGACAUCUAUCAGUUCACGGUGAAGAGAUGACAGUAUGUGUGCUGGGGGAAAAUCGCCUGGAUGACUCCAGCAGCUGGGCAAGCCUGGAAGAGACAGGACGGAACACGAGUGAUCCCGGGCCAGGGGCUGGAAUGUCCCACUGCCUCUGGCUGACAUAGCCUCCCAAAAGGACCAGGAGGCAGAAGUGGGCAGCGAGGGGUUCCCUGCCUGCCCAGGGCCUGCUGCACAUUUGGUGUAACAGCCCCCCAUGUUAGCAGGGUCUGGAGUAAGUCUUGAUAUUCAUUCAAUGUUCAAGCAGUAUUUAUUGCUAGUCUACAAUAACAACCACCACAGCAGUAAUAAAAUAGUAGAAAUAACAGCUGACACUUA